GGAAUAUUGCACAAUGGGGGAAACCCUGAUGCAGCAACGCCGCGUGAAGGAAGAAGGUUUUCGGAUCGUAAACUUCUAUCAACAGGGACGAAGAAAGUGACGGUACCUGAAUAAGAAGCCCCGGCUAUCUACGUGCCAGCAGCCGCGGUAAAACGUAGGGGGCAAGCGUUAUCCGGAAUUACUGGGUGUAAAGGGUGAGUAGGCGGCAUGGUAAGCCAGAUGUGAAAGCCCGCAGCUUAACUGCGGGACUGCAUUUGGAACUACUAAGCUAGAGUACAGGAGAGGUAAGCGGAAUUCCUAGUGUAGCGGUGAAAUGCGUAGAUAUUAGGAAGAACACCGGUGGCGAAGGCGGCUUACUGGACUGAAACUGACGCUGAGGCACGAAAGCGUGGGGAGCAAACA
rnacentral:rRNA from 1 species